rnacentral:tRNA from 1 species
GGAGAGAUGGCUGAGUGGCUGAAAGCAGCGGUUUACUAAACCGCCAGGGUCUCACGACCCUCGUGAGUUCGAAUCUCACUCUCUCCG